GUUUUUCUUUUCUUUUUUCCAAGAAAUAACCACUCAAGCUUUUGACACGGCAAACUCAAAUGUGACACUCUUUUACCAUUAGCAAAGUAAUUUCCAGAUUGCAAAAGGCAAAAGCUAAAUGUUGCCCCCAGCAAAUUGCUUGGCGAGCAUAAGAUACUCUGUAACCAGAAAUUUGCAGUCAUGGAGACCAAAAGCAUAUAAUAGACCACUGAUAAACAAGCUCUUAUACUUACUCAAUUCUUCACCCAUGUGAUUACCAAGGUCAAGUGGUAAUCCUGGAAAAUUCAUAAGGCUUUGGCAAUAUGCACCCUAUCACUGCUGCCCUCCCGCAGUCAUGCAACAACCAAGUUGAUGCCACUAAUCCAUUCUAACAGGCCAAAAUAAAAUCUUUGGCUAGCGUAAAGCCCUAACUAUGGCACAUUACAACUGAAGUCUCUUUCUAACUCAGCACCAUGUAAUACACAGAUUUCAGUUGAAGAUUACACCUGCUGCUCCGGCACAUCCACGGGCUUGGGCUCAGGCUCUGGCUGACGGCGUCUCUUGUAUGUGCGCAGAGCCUCCUGGGACGACCAAUCCCUCAAAUGCAUCUUGUCAUUCCCUUUGUCCUUGUUGGCAUCCAUCUUCCACCGCCAGGGUUUCGGUCAAGAAACCAAAUAUUCCUGCAUGCAUGCCAACCAACAUCCUCAGAACAGAAAAAAACGUUACUGAGAAAAGAAGCUGCACUUGCAAUUAAUUCCCAAUCCAAAAGACCGAUCAGAAAGAUUCGAGCUCUCCACACACCCCCCCCCAAAAAAGAAGCAAGCACCAAGAAAGUUCAAAUUUUGGGGGAAAUAACGCGGUCAAAGCCGCGGAAAAACAUGGCUCCGAUCCCCGAGCAGUACCUGAAGAAGGCGACGCCGACGCCGU
rnacentral:lncRNA from 1 species